ACGAAAGCCGACCUUCGCUCGUCGCACCGCCGAAUCCAACAACCACAGAUUCGUUCACAUCUUUCUCCGUCUCAGUGCUCAUCACCACCACCGAACCUUCCUCGUGGUCCGUACGAUCUCGGCUCUGAACAGGAAUCACAUCUAUUUCAUCAUGGAUCAACGCGCGCGAAACAAAGUCUCUCUGUUUGUUUCUCAGGAAAAUUUGGGAGCGGUGAGGUUUCAGGGACGGUUUCGAGAGAGAGAGGAAGCUACGUGGAGAGAUUGAAGUGUGGAGUGAAGAAGCAGCCAUGGCGGAGAGAAGA
rnacentral:lncRNA from 1 species